rnacentral:snRNA from 1 species
AUACUUACCUGGACGGGGUCAAUGGGCGAUCAACAAGGCCCAUGGCCUAGGUUGGUGACCUCCAUUGCACUUUGGAGGGGUGCCUGCCUAAGGUCGGCCCAAGUGGUUGAGCCUACGUCAUAAUUUGUGGUAGUGGGGGCCUGCGUUCGCGCGGUCCCUAC